CCUACGGGGGGCUGCAGUGGGGAAUAUUGCACAAUGGGCGAAAGCCUGAUGCAGCAACGCCGCGUGAGCGAUGAAGGUCUUCGGGUCGUAAAGCUCUUUCCUAAGGGAGGAAUAUUUACGGGACCUUAGGAGGAAGCCCCAGCUAACUACGUGCCAAAAGCCGCGGUAAUACGGAGGGGGCUAGCGUUAUCCGGAAUUACUGGGGGUAAAGGGUGCGUAGUCGUCCCUUCAAGGCAGAGGUGAACGGCUAAGGCUCAACGGUAGUAAGCAUUUGAAACUGUAGGGCUUGAGUGCAGGAGAGGGGAGUGGAAUUCCAAGUGUAGCGGUGAAAUGCGUAGAUAUCGGGAGGAACACCAGUUGCGAAGGCGGCUCUCUGGACUGUAACUGACGCUGAGGCACGAAAGUGUGGGGAGCGAACAGGAUUAGAUACCCUAGUAGUC
rnacentral:rRNA from 1 species